UUCGGUCAGUUGAACAUUUUCCAUGCUGUGAUCAAGUUGUCUUUUCCUCUGAGCGCCGAGCGCUGUGCACGCCUUGGACUUGGAGCAUUCGCCACGUAUCGCAACGAAAUCGAAGCGCCCAUUGCAACAUUUCCCAACUAGUCGCACAAAAACCAAAAAAACAAAAAAAAAAAUCACAAAAAAAAGAAAAAUAGAAAACGAAAAUCUAAAAAAUAAAUGGCCGAGCAUCAAGUGCAGUGCGUUUAUCAGUAUGUGUGUGUGUGUCUGUCUAACUCUGUGUGUGUGUGUGUGUGUGAGUUGAAGCGUGCUUAAUGGACAGAGAAAUUACUGUCCUAUGCUGUAGUGUGGAGGCGUGGCCAGUCAAGUCUGAAAGACUGAACUGCACUUUUGCUAGCCCCGAAAAAUGCGACCAAAAGUCGCCUCCACAUUUUUGCCGGAAACGUGCAAUAAGCCAUACAAAUGGCGCCAGCAUUUUAGCUUGCAUCUGCCACCAACUUUCUGCAACAAAUUGCAACAAUUGAAAUUCGAAUUUGUUUCUAAUUUCCACCGUACAAAUUGUGUGUGUGUCUGAAUGGGAAAAGAGUUGAGUGGAGAGAAAAAGAUAAAGAGAGAGAGAGAGAGAGAAAAAGAGAGUUUUUAAAGUUAUUUGUUGUUUUCAUUGUAGUUUCAGCUCAACGGCAAACAAUUUGUGAAACGACGGACUGACUUACAUGCAUUUUAUUAGUACAUAAAUAUCAAAAAUCAAUCCAAUUGAAAGAAAACACCAAAUAACAAUUAACAAUUUUUGUAACUUAAUUACAAUUUAAAAAAUCAAACUACAAAAAAUAUCAAAAAUAAAAUCGAAAUCGAAAAUAAAAUCAUAAAUCGCAACGCAAAUCCAGAGUACAGCUAGUAAGAGAAAGAGAGAGAGAAAGAGAAAGCGAGAGAGAGGAAAGAGCGGGGCAAUAAUAAAAUGCAAUUAAUGAGAAAAACAAUUAAACGGUUUCGUCUAAACUGAUUCAGAAAAACAGAACCACACACAACAAAGGGAAAAGAAACAACAACAAAAUAGUGAAAUGAAGUGCCGAAAAUCGCCGUUAAAUAAACAACAAGCUGCGGCUAAAAUUUAAUUAAAAGUACACAAGCAAACAAACAAACAGUUAAGAAACAAACAAACAAACAAACAAUUCGCUCGCUCGCAUCAGAAGAAACCAACUUGAAUGGGCAGCAUAUCAAAAUCGUAAUCGCAAUCGCAAUCGCAAUCGAAUCCCAAUCGCAAGCGCAAUCGCAAUUGUAAUAUUAAUUGUAAUCGAAAAUUGUAAUUGAAAAGAAAUGAAAGUAAUUAAAGCAGCAAGCGGAGACAAUUGAAAACGACAGCUCACAAUUCGAAAAAGUAUACAUUGAAUUCUACUUCUAUAUAUCUCGAUACUCGAUACACACUCUCUCGAUUGCAAAGUCGUUGGAGCGAGGACACCGCAGCAUCCUAAUGAAAUCAACGAAGGCGCCCAAAUCGAGCAUGGAACCAAAAAUUUUGUGCUUUUGUAUUUGCCCAUUUUAAUGAGUGUAGCAAACAUCAACAAUAACAACAACAACUACAAUAAAAACAACAAAAAAACUAUCCUAGAUACAUUUUUUUACAUCAAAUAACUACAACAACAACCACAACAAUAACAACAACAAUCAUCUAUACACAAUGUGACAAUAAAAAAAAUAAAGACAAACAAAAUCAAAGGAAUUUAAUUGCACCACAUUCUCAGACAAAAGUGAAAACAAGCACAACAAAAACAUCAGCAACAACAACAACAACAACAAGCACAAGCAACAGUGAUAAAGCAAAACGCACAACAACAAUAAAUGUGAAAGAAUAACAAGAACAACAACAACAACAACAACAACAAUAAGAACAAGCACACACGAUUAACAUCUUCUUAGUUGCCUUUAAUGCUGAAUGUCCUGCACAUUUACAGUCUUGCUGUUUAGCGUGUGUGUGUGUGUCUUUGUCUCUUUGUCACUCUCUGUGUGUGCGUAAGUGUACGUGUGUGUCUCUCCCGCUCUCUCUCUGGAAUCAGAGAGCAACGAGUAAUACCAGUGUUCAGUGUGUUCCCUCUUGUCUCUGUGUCCCCUUUGCCCCUCACAGCACACUUUUUUCUUUCUUUCUUUCUCUCUCUCUCUCUCUGUGUCUUUAUCUCUCUCUCUCUCACACACGCUCCAGCCCUGUUGGGUGGCAAGCACUAAGCACUAGAGCACCACCCAGAGCACCACCACCACUAGCAACAACCACCGACGGCAAGUAACGAGAGCAACAAUAAGAGCAACCACCGAUUCCGAUAGCGAUACCGAUAACGUUACCGAUACCGAUACCGAUAGCUAUUUGCGAUAAAGGCAGCGCUAGCGUGAGUGCUUGCGUUACCGUUACCCUCCGCGCCCGACCAGGUCAGUGUCUGUGUGAUUACCCCACUCCUGCUCGCCACACCACCCACAUACCAGCACCACAAUUGCACAUUACUACCAUAGAUACCCACGGCAGUAUUACUACCGCAUGGAGCGCGGCACCAGCGGUGGUCAGCAGCAUCAGUCGCAGUCGCAGUCGCACCACCAACACCAACAACAGCACCACCAACAACAUCAACAGCAGCAGCAACACCAACAGCAACAACAUCAGUCGAGGCACCAGCAUGUGGUCUCCGUGCACAGCUACGAUCCGUAUAUGACCGCCGGAGAUGCGGACGAGGAGCAUACCUCGGGCACAUCCUCCUUUGACAAUCCCGCAACCAAAAAGAAACCACCCAAGCUGAAGCCCAUCCAUCGUUCCCUAUCCAUGGCCAUUGACAAUUAUGCACCGAUAGCGACCGAUUUAGAGUUUCAGCUCGAUGAGGGCUACAUUGUGCAUGAGCAGCCGCUGAUCCACCGCUCGGCGUCGCCGCUGCCCGUGCGCUCGUCUGCACCGCCGCAGACCCUAGCACUCCCAGCACCACUACAACAACAACAACAUCUUCCCCAACAACAACAUGUGUCUGGCGGCGGCAGCGGUUCCGUGUCUCCAGCACUUUCCGCUCGCCAACAGCACCACCACCUACAACAACAACAACAACAACAGCACCAACAACACCAACAACAACAACAACAACACCAGCUGCAUAUGCACACUUUUCAGCAACUGGCCGCACAGGCAGCUGCUGCACGCCACCACCAACAGUUGCCACAUCCGCAUGCGCAUCCGCAUUCGCACCGCCAGCACCCGCACUCGAGCUCCACCAGCUCACCCACCUCGCACGCCGUCAGCCCGAUACUGGGCCAACAGCAACAGCAACAACAUCAGCAACUGCAACAUCAGCAACUACAGCACAGACAGCAACAGCAACAACAACAUCAACCGGAUAUCUAUUUGGUCAGCAGCAGCAGCCUGGGCGACAAUGUGGGCGGUCUGGGCCUGGGCCUGGGCGGCGGUUUGGGCCUGGCACGCUCGCCGCUGGGCGGCAGCGGCAGCACAUCACCGAUACAGUUCAUCGAUGUCGAUGAUAUGCUGCCGCCACGUGCCACCACAGCACACCACACAGCGUCGCAGCAGCAGCAGCAGCAAUCGCUCAAAAAGAAUUUAUUUCGACGCUCCGACACAAUUGACGUUCAUCCGUCUACCAAUUUUCAGAUGAAGAAAACGCAUUCCUUCCACGCCCAACAGGAUCCCGCCGCCAUGGAGCAAAUACAGCUAGCGGUUGCCGCCGGCUCGGCCAGCUCCAGUCGUCGCACCAGCUCGGUGCGCGCCAACUUCCUGAUGCCCGGUCCCCCCGCCGGCAAAGAGAUCUCCCGCUCGCCGUCGCCAAGUCGUCGCGGGUGUCGUUCGCAUCGCUCGUUCAACGAUCCCGGCCGGCGGCCAAGCAGCAAACCCGACUCGGUGGUCGAGUCCCAGAUACGCCAUCCAUCACUGAACGAUGAUCUGAUGGAACCGCUCGACGGUCGCACGCUCUUUCCGCAAUCGAACCUGUCGCUGGAGAACGAGCUGUUUGUGGAGUCGCGGUCGCGCAGCAACAGUCACACCAAAAUGGAGGAGCUGGGCGUGGCCGAGCUGGCGGCUGCCGCUGUGGCCGUGCAGCGUAUGCGCAAGAGCUCCGGCUCGUUUGAGGAGACGGCGACUGCGCUCGCCGCCGGACACAGCGCCACACAUCCGCCCGCCUCCUCCGCCUCGAACAGCAUCAAGCACCAGAAGCGCGAACCGCAUCCGCACUCGCGCCAGCAGAGCACCCACAGUCUCGAGCUGGACGGACGACCGUCCACAAGUAGCGCCGCCGCCGCCGCCGCCGCUGCGCACACGAUGCAGCUGCACAGCGCGGCGGCAGCGGCAAGCGCAGCGUAUCACUUUAAGCGUGGCGCGCAACAUGGACGCUCGCUCUAUCUGUCGCCCAGCAAUCUGGAGGAGCUGGCCGUGCACAGGCCCGGCGUGUUGGCCGCCGCGGCGGCGUUUCAGGGCACCAAUGCCAGUGCCAGCGUGAAGCAGGCGAAGGCGCUGCACAGCGCCAGCGUGCGGCUGCGCAACUAUCGCGAGACGCUGAGCGCCACGAAGAAGUCGAAGAGCUUCAUUGGCGAUGGCAGCGGUGGUGUUGGCGGCAGCAGCAGCAUCACGGCUGGCGAUGACUUUGAGCUUAGUUCACCCCACCGACGCAACAGUCGCCCACUGUCCACAGCGGUGCCGAGCGGUGCUCAAGGCGCCGCUGCCGUUGUCAAUGUGGACGAGAUCAAGCGCAGUCCACGUCCAAUAUCCGCGGCAGCAGCGGCCUUCAUCGAGGAGAAGCGACCAUCGUUCGAGCGCAAACCCUCGCUGACCACCUACGAACAGGAGCUGAGCGAUGCCGCGUUUGCCGCCCAGGUGCUGCGACCGUUCCACCACAAGUUGGCAGCGGGACGCAAGGCAUCGCUGAGCGGAGGUUCGCACAAGCUGAAGAAGAAGUCGCUGAGCGACGAGACGGAUGAGGACGAGGAGGCGGAUCGCAAACGCAAACGCAUCGUGUGCAUUGUGCUCGCAACGGUGCUGCUGUGCCUCGUCUGUGCCAGCGUCUUUGUGGUCAUUGUCACGCUCACCUCCGGCCAGAGUCAGUCGGGGAAGAAGGCGCAUUCGUUCAGCAGAGACACGCCGGUCCACUACACGGGCAUGCGACCAUCAUGAACUGCAACUCCUCCAACUGCAACAGCAGCCAACGAUGUGCGACAUUGCCUUUAUCAUGUUGCUGAACUUAUUUCGGGGAUUUCACUUCCGUUUCCGCUUCUACUCUCCAUUGUCGCCACUUCCCUUCUGCUGCUGGGCGUGCGUGUAAUUGCAAGACGCUUCAAUUGUUCCCAUCCACAUCAGUGGCACAAAAUGAACUCCAAAUUGGCAAUGGACACCAUCAUCGUCAUCAUCGCCAGCAUCGCCAGCGUCAUUCAACAGCACUUCGGCAACUUCCAGUCCAGUUGGCGGCAACAACUAGAAACUACUACAACUACAAUUGGCCACACUUCUCGCAACUUUCAAUGCAAUUGAAAUCACAACAACAAUAAAAAUGUGUACACUAAAACACCACGCCUUACGCCAGGAGAACGAGCGCAGCAUACGGGAGAAUCUGGAAAGGACCUUGAUGAUGAAGAACCUCACGGAGCUGAAUCUGCAGCGACAGCAACA